CGUCCCUGGCAAUGGGCAAAGAGACACCUUGUUGGUGGUGUUUUUAUAUCCGUCAGGGGCAGAACAGAUGGCUGUCCUUUGAUCAUCCUAGCUUGAUUCUUGGCUUGGUGGCCAAAGUGGGUUAAUGCCUAAGACACAUAA